UUAAAUUGAAGAGUUUGAUCAUGGCUCAGAUUGAACGCUGGCGGCAGGCCUAACACAUGCAAGUCGAACGGUAACAGGAAGCAGCUUGCUGCUUUGCUGACGAGUGGCGGACGGGUGAGUAAUGUCUGGGAAACUGCCUGAUGGAGGGGGAUAACUACUGGAAACGGUAGCUAAUACCGCAUAACGUCGCAAGACCAAAGAGGGGGACCUUCGGGCCUCUUGCCAUCGGAUGUGCCCAGAUGGGAUUAGCUAGUAGGUGGGGUAACGGCUCACCUAGGCGACGAU
rnacentral:rRNA from 1 species